GCCUUGUGCUACACCUACACUUUUAUAAUUUACAAAAGUGAAAAUAUAGUGAUCAAAAAAGAAUGUGGCUUUGGCUGAGUCAUUGAAUUCCAAAUGAGGAAGUACAUGGACACAAUUUUGGUUCAUUACUACAGAUUUAAUAAGCUCGCUUCUUUCUUGAAAUUUUGUAAUAUCAUUUGCCACAUCUGAUGCUUCUGCAACCCGGCUGACUAUAUUUGCAGACUAGUACUGGUUUAACAUUAAUGUCAAAAGGAUCCACUGUAUACAGAGCACAUAUAUCCAACUUUUUCUUCCAUGUUCUACAACAUUCUUUUACAAAGAUCUCCCUUGGUCUUUAGAUGUUGAGAAAAAAAUGCACAGUAACUAUGUUCUAGAUUUUCUAUAUUUUUUUCUCAUUCCUACGGCUAAUAGUGAUGUGGUGGUAUUUAUGGACAGAAGCACUUUUAAUGUUACCAGAUGAAGCUGAAUAGAACUAUAGAAAAGUUACUCAAGUGAAAAAGCAAUAGAAAUAACCAAGAAAAUGCAUUAGUGAUUUCGCAGGUGUGCUUAUUCUGUGUGGACAAUUUGUCAAAUGUGGACCAUAAUCCCUCAACAUAUAUAUGAUUGCCCCCAAUUUGUUUUUCAUUUCUGUGGGAUGUAUCUUGAUUGAUAUAUUGUGUUGCUGGUAUUGGUGUUGACUUCCAUAUGACAAGUCUGUCAUCUCCAAUCCAUUCUAUAACAUCUUUGCUUAUUGAUUGUUGG
rnacentral:lncRNA from 1 species